UCGGUAGUUCAGUUGGUUAGAACGCCGGCCUGUCACGCCGGAGGUCGAGGGUUCAAGUCCCUUCCG
rnacentral:tRNA from 2 species